rnacentral:rRNA from 1 species
AAAAAAAAAAAAAUACGUGCUUAACACAUGCAAGUCGAGCGAACUGAUUAGAAGCUUGCUUCUAUGACGUUAGCGGCGGACGGGUGAGUAACACGUGGGCAACCUGCCUGUAAGACUGGGAUAACUCCGGGAAACCGGAGCUAAUACCGGAUAACAUUUUUUCUUGCAUAAGAGAAAAUUGAAAGAUGGUUUCGGCUAUCACUUACAGAUGGGCCCGCGGUGCAUUAGCUAGUUGGUGAGGUAACGGCUCACCAAGGCAACGAUGCAUAGCCGACCUGAGAGGGUGAUCGGCCACACUGGGACUGAGACACGGCCCAGACUCCUACGGGAGGCAGCAGUAGGGAAUCUUCCGCAAUGGACGAAAGUCUGACGGAGCAACGCCGCGUGAGUGAUGAGACUUUCGGGUCGUAAAACUCUGUUGUUAGGGAAGAACAAGUACAAGAGUAACUGCUGACUGACGACUUCCCCC